rnacentral:rRNA from 1 species
AACGAACGCUGGCGGCAGGCUUAACACAUGCAAGUCGAACGAUGUAGCAAUACAUAGUGGCGCACGGGUGAGUAACGCGUGGGAAUAUACCUUAUAGUGGGGAAUAACUUUGGGAAACUAAAGCUAAUACCGCAUACGCCCGAGAGGGGAAAGAUUUAUCGCUAUAAGAUUAGCCCGCGUGAGAUUAGGUAGUUGGUGGGGUAAUGGCCUACCAAGCCUACGAUCUCUAGCUGGUCUGAGAGGAUGAUCAGCCACACUGGAACUGAGACACGGUCCAGACUCCUACGGGAGGCAGCAGUGGGGAAUAUUGGGCAAUGGACGAAAGUCUGACCCAGCCAUGCCGCGUGAAUGAUGAAGGCCUUAGGGGUUGUAAAGGUUUACUUUUACUUCGGGACGAUAAUGACGGUACCGAGAGAAUAAGCCCGGCUAACUCCGUGCCAGCAGCCGCGGUAAAGUGACUA